AAAAAAAAAAAAAAAAAAAAAAAAAAAUUCACAUGGCAAAUUGCAUGAGUGGGACACCUCACUAAGCCUUACCUACUUUUUGUUAUUUACUAUUUACUCUCACCACUCCAAAUCUUCAAGCCCUAUCCAGAGUCAGGUCACACUCAGAAGACACCUCAAAAAACCAGGCUACCUCUCCCUUCUUUGAAACUCAGUUUUGGAAUCUUUUUGGUAUUUAUUUGGGUUUCCAACCUUCCAGUAACACUUUCUAACACCUAAACAUAACUCUGGAGUUUGGCUUUUGAUGACAUCUUCUCUUCCCCUAUGUUCUAAGCAACUUUCUUUUAUUUAAGAGUCUCCUCUAUUUCCCUCCAACUUUUCAUUCCUGGUCCUCUCUUUCCCUAAUUUUCUCUCUCCAAGGCCAGAGAUUGAAGAGGAAAUUCCCAUCAAGUUUAGAAAAUGUGAAAUGUGGUCAGGCUGGGGGAAGGAGAAAGGGAAGAAAUCACAUCUUUAUGAUUCCUUUAUUUUAUCUCCACACACAUAAAUUCAGCACUUGCAUCACUUGUCCCUGGAUUUCUACCAUAGAAGUUUGAGAAGAACUAGUGAAUGUGAGCCAGACCUACAAGAUCAUAAAUUCCUUGCAGUUAAGAAUCAUCAUCAAAGAGAAAAAGAAAAUCAUUAUCAUCAUCAUCAGAGCCAACACUUUUCAUGUACUUAUCCAAACCAGGCACUGUGCUGAGCCCUUUACAACUGUCAUCUCAUUAAUCCUUAUAACAAUCAUAAGGUGGCAUUUUCUGACCCACCUUGGAGAUGCGCCCUUUGAGGAGCCUGCAGCCUCCUGCACCUGAAGAAAGUGGCCCACUCAUGAAAACGCCCAGGCUCCCAGUUGGGGAGAACCAUCUCCACCAGAGGGGGAUCCAGAUCCAGUGGAGAAGAAUUUUUUUUAUUGUUUUUAGAUAAACUGUCUUCAAAUAGUGCAGCACGGGCACUUCCUGCCUCGAUGGAAAUUCAGCACACUUCCUGCUGCUCACCUGCCCCAUCUGUGUUUAUCUUCUGCCUCAAUCAUGUGAAGGCCAAAUGGGUGGCAUGAGUGCAACUGGGCCAGCUGUGGCUGGGGGCAGCAACAGCUCCAUGUUUUGAGGCCAGAUGGAGGCUGCUUUGGUCUAGGAGGUGGAGGGGAGCCAGUGGCUGCUUCAGGCCUCCCUGUGUGGAGUGCUUGGAGCUGGAAGUAGAAGCAGGGCCCAACUGGGGGCUCCAUUGGAUGAAGCACACCAUCCCAUCCAAAAGCCUGCUCCCAAUGUCCUCACUGAGCUCUCUUUGUUUCUUUCUGUUUCUUCUAUAUGUAUACAUAUCAAAUAUGUGUGUGUGUGUGUGUCUAUGUAUGUGUGUGAAACAGAAAGAAGCAAAGAGUCCUUUGCACUUUAUCAAAGGUACUCUACUAAUUCCUUUACACUUUUAUCAAAGAUAUUCACUUGUCAGGGACACUAGAGCAGUGUCCAGGCUGCAUGUAACAUCAGCUGGGAAGCUUUUAUAAAUUAAAACAACUAUAAAAUAGUUGCAGGCAUUUUCAAGUUUUUAUUAAGCCUCAUAAAAACUUGAAAAUGUCUAUAAGACACCUACACUACAGGUCUCCAUGGCUCUCUGCAAAACAUGACCAAGCUCAAAAAGACACACAAGGUUAGAAGACACCACAGAUUUGGCAACAGCCCAUGAUCCUUGGGUUUAUCUCCCCUCAGAGUGGCUCCUUAAAGUGACACUGGCACUUUUCUGAAACGCUUUCCUGCAGGUUCUUGAGCACACUCUAAUGGAAGCUCUCUCUCAGAAUUAUGCACAUGAGAGUGUCAUUGUAGAAUGCUUUUUAGCAUAUCCACCACAGGUAUAAUGAAACACAGGCUACAUACUGAUAAAAUGGAAGGACCAAAUGAAACAAGCCUAUUCAUACACAUUUCUGUGUCUCUUUGCAUCUGUGGUUUUCAGACUUUAGUGUGCAUCAGAAUCGCCCAGAGGACUUGUUAAAACACAGAUUGCUAGGCCGCACCCCAGAGUUUCAGAUUCAGUAGGUCUGAGAUGAGGCCCCAGGAGCUGCAGCAAGUAAAACGGGCAGCAACAGCUACUGCGUCACCUGAGGCCCAUUUGCGACAGUCUCUGCUCUGUGUGAUAAAAAAGAUCACAUUUUCCUUUCCUCUAGGUCUGAUGUGAGGCUGGCUUGUUUUACAUUGGGCAUCUCUGAGAAAGUAUCAGGAAAAAGGCAGACAAAGCAGAAGUGCCUGAAAUGAUAUUUAUUAAUUUGGAUUCUGAGUAGCUAAAUUGAAACUUGAUUGUGCCCUUACCCCUAGCUCCUCCUGGGCCUGGAGCAAGGACAGGCUACGUCUGAGGCAGCAGGCAUUGGAAGGAGUAGGAUCGGGUUAGGGCUAGUUUUAGGGCAAAUGAGGUACCUCCAUCCUUACCGUCCAGCUAUGUAGUAACAAAUUAGCCUCUUCUAGAUGGUCUGAAGUCUAUUAUAUAAAGUUUGGCUUGUAUAAGUGUUUCUAAAAGUGUUUUAACAUGAAAAAUUUUAAACACAUGGAAACUUACGAAGAAUAGUACAAUGAACACCUAUAUAUACCCAGGAACAAAAUUCAAUUAUUAUUAAAAUUUUGCUUCUUGUUUCUUGGCUCACUACAACCUCUGCAUCCCAGGUUCAAGUGAUUCUUGUGCCUCGAGCCUCCCGAAUAGCUGAGAUCAUGGGCAUGCACCACCACAACCCUGCUAAUUUUUGUAAUUUUUUAAUAGAGACAGGGUUUCUCCAUGUUGGCUAAGCUGGUCUCAAACCCCUGGCCUCAAAUGAUCCACCCACCUCAGCCUCCCAAAGUGCUGGGGUUACAGGCGUGAGCCACUGCGCCUGGCCCAUUUGUUUCAUUUAUAUAUAUGAUCUAUAUUUUUUGCUGACAUCAUCUCCAAAAAAGUAAGGACAUCUGCACAGUCACAAUGUCAUUAUCACCUAAACAUUAACAGUAUUCCCCAAUAUUGCCUUAUAUCAUCUCUUCCUUUUAUCCCCAAAAUGUUUUAUGGAUAUUGUUUCUUUGAGUCACACACAGAACCUAGGCAAGGUCAGGGCCAGGGUGAUAUGGGUUAAAAGGACUCCAGAAAACUCAGUAAUCAAGAGUAAUAAUAUUGUAAUGCAAUAUUUCAAAAAGUCCAAUUGGCUAACUACAGCCCAUAGGCCAGCUGCGUGUUUUUGCAGGAAAAGUUUUAUGGGGCUGGGAUUAGCAUGAGAUAAGUGAGGCAGGGUUGUACAAAUGUAGG
rnacentral:lncRNA from 1 species